rnacentral:rRNA from 1 species
AUUGAACGCUGGCGGCAGGCCUAACACAUGCAAUUCGAACGAGUGGCGGACGGGUGAGUAAAUUAUGUGAAACUGCCUGAUGGAGGGGGAUAACUACUGGAAACGGUAGCUAAUACCGCUUCCCAUCAGAUGUUCCCUGAUGGCAUUAGCUAGUUGGUGGUGUAACGGCUCACCGAGGCGACGAUGCCUAGCUCGUCUGAGAGGAUGACCAGCAACACUGGAACUGAGACACGGUCCAGACUCCUACGGGAGGCAGAAGUGGGGAAUAUUGCACAAUGGGCGCAAGCGUGAUGCAGCAAUGCCGCGUGUAUGAAGAAGGGCUUCGGUUUGUAAAGUACUUUCAGCGGGGAGGCGUUACCCGCAGAAGAAGCACCGGCUAACUCCGUGCCAGCAGCCGCGGUAAUUC